GAUGAACGCUGGCGGCGUGCCUAAUACAUGCAAGUCGAGCGGACGGACGAGAAGCUUGCUUCUCUGAUGUUAGCGGCGGACGGGUGAGUAACACGUGGAUAACCUACCUAUAAGACUGGGAUAACUUCGGGAAACCGGAGCUAAUACCGGAUAAUAUUUUCAACCGCAUGGUUCAAAAGUGAAUGACGGUCUUGCUGUCACUUAUAGAUGGUUCCGCGCUGCAUUAGCUAGUUGGUAAGGUAACGGCUUACCAAGGCAACGACGCAUAGCCGAACUGAGAGGGGGAUCGGCCACACUGGAACGGAGAACCGGUCCCGACUCGUACGGGAGGCAGCAGUAGGGAAUCUUGCGCAAUGGGCGAAAGCCUGACCGGGCAACGCCGCGUGAGUGAUGAAGGUCUUCGGAUCGUAAACUCUGUUAUUAGGGAAGAACAUAUGUGUAAGUAACUGUGCACAUAUUGACGGUACCUAAUCAGAAAGCCACGGCUAACUACGUG
rnacentral:rRNA from 1 species